UACAGAGGUGGCAAGCGUUGUUCGGAAUUACUGGGCGUAAAGGGCGCGUAGGCGGUUCGUCAAGUCCUGUGUGAAAUCCCCCGGCUCAACUGGGGAACUGCACAGGAAACUAGCGGGCUUGAGUUCGGGAGAGGGAAGCGGAAUUCCGGGUGUAGCGGUGAAAUGCGCAGAGUAUCGGGAGGAACACCAAUGGCGAAGGCAGCUCGCUGGGACGGUACUGACGCUGAGACGCGAAAGCGUGGGGAGCAAACAGG
rnacentral:rRNA from 1 species